rnacentral:lncRNA from 1 species
AUGAUUUAUUUUAUGUAUAAGUAUUAUAAAGUUAUUUUACUUUAUGAUAAAAGUUAUAUGUAUGUAAUGUUCAUUUUUAAUUUAUAAUAGCUGUAUAAAUAAAAUUAUAUAAUAAUAGUAAAAAAAAUAUAUUUAGAAAUCACAACAUAUAUCUUUUACCAAACUAAUGGGCAUAUCCGAUACCCGCGGGUAUACCUGAUACCUGACGGGUAUUGGGUCAGGUAUGAGACACGAUUUUCUAACCGGGUAUGGGUAUGGGAUUACCAAUACCCGACUCGUUGUACUAGAUCACGGUCCCAUAGCUGUGAGUACUCACCUCCACCCAAGAUAAGGCAUCAAUCUAGGUCGGUUUUACCUCGAGGAAAAAAGUAUAGUAGAAAAAGGUCGUACUCACGCUCACUAGUAAGAACGCGUUCUCCACCUUACAAUGGUGGGUCUAUGAGUCUUAGUCGAAGUCUCGUUGGGGACAGUUUUCCUCCACCCGAUAAUAAUGGGUCAAGGAGACCAAGCCAAAGCCUUGAAAGAGAGAAACCGUCACCAACAUGAAGCCUAAUCCAAAGUUCAAGUCGAAGCAGGAGCAAAAGCCCUAAUCCCUGUGAGUAUGCGAGAGCCAAACCAAAGCGAGAUGCUUUACUUAAACCUUGAGUCGGUGUCAACAACCAGAGUUAUAUGGGUGUGGAAAUGCGGUUGUGUUUUAGAAUUUCUGACAUGAUUUCACUUUGUUCAUGUGUUGGUUGUAGACGUACGUAUUCGUGUUAGUUAACACUUUUUAGUGUUUAGUAUUUUUUUGAUUCGACUGCUGACUGCUAAUGGUGUUGAUCUUGAACUGAUAUGAUUGAUGU